rnacentral:rRNA from 1 species
UGGCUCAGGAUGAACGCUGGCGGCGUGCUUAACACAUGCAAGUCGAACGAAGCAUCCCUCCCGAAGAAGCGGAAGUGCUUGCACAGAAGUGGAUUCAUUUGGGAUGACUUAGUGGCGGACGGGUGAGUAACGCGUGGGCAACCUGCCCUAUAGAGGGGGACAACAGUUAGAAAUGACUGCUAAUACCGCAUAGUAAUGCAGAUCCGCAUGCUUCUGCAUUGAAAGCUUUUGCGCUAUAGGAUGGGCCCGCGUUUGAUUAGCUAGUUGGUGAGGUAACGGCCCACCAAGGCGACGAUCAAUAGCCGGCUUGAGAGAGUGAACGGCCACAUUGGGACUGAGACACGGCCCAAACUCCUACGGGAGGCAGCAGUGGGGAAUA